rnacentral:tRNA from 2 species
UCCCCGGUAGCUCAGUUGGUAGAGCAGUCGACUGUUAAUCGACUUGUCACAGGUUCGAGUCCUGUCCGGGGAG